rnacentral:rRNA from 1 species
AUGAACGCUAGCUACAGGCUUAACACAUGCAAGUCGAGGGGCAGCAUGGUCUUAGCUUGCUAAGGCCGAUGGCGACCGGCGCACGGGUGAGUAACACGUAUCCAACCUGCCGUCUACUCUUGGACAGCCUUCUGAAAGGAAGAUUAAUACAAGAUGGCAUCAUGAGUCCGCAUGUUCACAUGAUUAAAGGUAUUCCGGUAGACGAUGGGGAUGCGUUCCAUUAGAUAGUAGGCGGGGUAACGGCCCACCUAGUCUUCGAUGGAUAGGGGUUCUGAGAGGAAGGUCCCCCACAUUGGAACUGAGACACGGUCCAAACUCCUACGGGAGGCAGCAGUGAGGAAUAUUGGUCAAUGGGCGAGAGCCUGAACCAGCCAAGUAGCGUGAAGGAUGACUGCCCUAUGGGUUGUAAACUUCUUUUAUAAAGGAAUAAAGUCGGGUAUGUAUACCCGUUUGCAUGUACUUUAUGAAUAAGGAUCGGCUAACUCCGUGCCAGCAGCCGCGGUAAUACGGAGGAUCCGAGCGUUAUCCGGAUUUAUUGGGUUUAAAGGGAGCGUAGAUGGAUGUUUAAGUCAGUUGUGAAAGUUUGCGGCUCAACCGUAAAAUUGCAGUUGAUACUGGAUAUCUUGAGUGCAGUUGAGGCAGGCGGAAUUCGUGGUGUAGCGGUGAAAUGCAUAGAUAUCACGAGGAACUCCGAUUGCGAAGGCAGCCUGCUAAGCUGCAACUGACAUUGAGGCUCGAAAGUGUGGGUAUCAAACAGGAUUAGAUACCCUGGUAGUCCACGCCGUAAACGAUGAGUGCUAAGUGUUAGAGGGUUUCCGCCCUUUAGUGCUGCAGCUAACGCAUUAAGCACUCCGCCUGGGGAGUACGGCCGCAAGGUUGAAACUCAAAGGAAUUGACGGGGGCCCGCACAAGCAGUGGAGUAUGUGGUUUAAUUCGAAGCAACGCGAAGAACCUUACCAAGGCUUGACAUAUACAGGAAUAUUUAAGAGAUUAAAUAGCUCUUCGGAGUCUGUAUACAGGUGGUGCAUGGUUGUCGUCAGCUCGUGCCGUGAGGUGUCGGCUUAAGUGCCAUAACGAGCGCAACCCUUGUUGUCAGUUACUAACAGGUUCCGCUGAGGACUCUGACAAGACUGCCAUCGUAAGAUGUGAGGAAGGUGGGGAUGACGUCAAAUCAGCACGGCCCUUACGUCCGGGGCUACACACGUGUUACAAUGGGGGGUACAGAGGGCCGCUACCACGCGAGUGGAUGCCAAUCCCCAAAACCUCUCUCAGUUCGGACUGGAGUCUGCAACCCGACUCCACGAAGCUGGAUUCGCUAGUAAUCGCGCAUCAGCCACGGCGCGGUGAAUACGUUCCCGGGCCUUGUACACACCGCCCGUCAAGCCAUGGGAGCCGGGGGUACCUGAAGUGCGUAACCGCGAGGAGCGCCCUAGGGUAAAACUGGUGACUGGGGCU